rnacentral:rRNA from 1 species
CCCGCACAAGCGGUGGAGCAUGUGGUUUAAUUCGAUGAUACGCGAGAAACCUUACCAGGGCUUUGACAUAUACAGGAAUGUUGUAGAGAUUACAGCAGCCGCUUGCGGUCUGUAUACAGGUGCUGCAUGGCUGUCGUCAGCUCGUGCUGUGAAGUGUUGGGUUAAGUCCCGCAACGAGCGCAACCCUAUCAUCUGUUGCCAGCAUUUAAGGUGGGGACUCAGAUGAGACUGCCGGUGACAACCGGAGGAGUGGGACGACGUCAAGUCAUCAUGGCCCUUAUGUCCUGGGCUACACACGUGCUACAAUGGCCGGUACAGAGUGAAGCGAAACCGCGAGGUGAAGCAAAACGCAGAAAGCCGGUCUCAGUACGGAUUGGAGUCUGAAACUCGACUUCAUGAAGUUGGAAUCGCUAGUAAUCGCGCAUCAGCAUGGCGCGGUGAAUACGUUCCCGGGCCUU